CCACAGCCAUGGCUGCCUAGUGGCCAGGAGCCAGCCAGACCCUGGACAGACAGACACGCUCUCAUGGCCAUUGGCUUUCACAGCCUUUGUUAUAGGGGUUGGGACAGGAUGUCCCAGCCCCGCGGUGGUGACACAGCCAGCACCCUUUGGGGACGUUGUGCCAGCCCCCAGCUGGGUGCUGGCAGGGAGGGCUGGGGCUGGAGCUGGUGGGGUCGAUGCAGUUGGUGUUGCCAAUGAAAACCUGCCCCACAAACAGGCUCUUUGGGUCCCAUCAGCAGCCACCACGGGUCCCUCCUGCUCUGCCCAUGAGCCCCGUGCAGCCCCUCACCCCGGCGCUGGCUGGGGUGCCACCCCCACCCUGAGGGGCUUCCAAGAGCCACCUUCUCCCUGGCCAGGAGGAGUUUUCCUCUCCCCUGCAACCACAGGCCAUCAAAUCCUUUGGGAAAAGUGUGAUAGAGUUUAUUUCUGGUCCAGGUGAGAACAGGGAAACGAGGAGAUUCACCUGGGAGGGGAAAAUGAAACCUUGAUGGAAAAUCCUGAGGCUGAACCCAGCCUGGCCAGGGCUGCCAGUGGGGAUGUCCCUGUGGAGGGGCUGGAGGAGGGUGAAGAUGGAGCAGCUGAGAUUGGGAGGAGGAUGAGGAUGAAGUUGCCAACCCACCCUGUGGGGGUUAAUCCAGCUGUGGCUCCUUGUCACCUUCUUCAUUCUUGUGCCAAGGCAGAGGACAGGCAUCCUGUGGGACAGGAGGAGAAUGGCCAUUGGUUUCCCCCUUGGCCCAAGAACUGGGAAUGACCAAGGAGGAGAGGGAACCCAUCUUGUGUCUCCUCCCCACUCAGAACCCCUGUUCCAGCUGGUGGCAGGAGCUGGGCUGGGUCUUGCCCACCCUGGGGAAGGGUUUGGACCUUUUCAGAUGUGAAGAAGAUCUCCUCCUCAGUGAAGCCCAGGCAGUGCAACUGGGCUUUGAACUCCUCCAGCUGCUCCUUGCUCACGUUGUGUGUCCGUGCUGCCGGGGAAAGGAGAAGGGGGAAAGAAAGGGAGUUCCAGGGGGUGCUUUGCUGCUUGGAGGUCCCCAUGGUGGGUGUGGGGAGCUCACUGCCUGCCUGGUCCCUGGUCCAUCCUUCCCUCUACCUCUUGGGGAGUAAAAAGGUCUUUUUGCCCUGCCUGUGAGAGCUGGGCAUGGCUGUGCCCAACUGAUGGGAGGUGCCCCAUGGAUCUGGGGCAGCCUCCACUCACCUGAGAGGCUCAGACCCAGGUCGUUGUCAUGAAGGUGCUUCAGGAUCAGCAGGUCCUUGUCACUUUGGAUCACCUCAGCCAUGGAAACUCUUUGGUCGUCAACUGGAAGGUAGUGGGAGAGCAGGGUCCCCUCUGGUUGACUGUCACCCUCUGCCAGGGCUUGGCAGAGGUGGCAGUGCUGGGGGGCUGCUCACCCCCUGACCCCCAGGAGACUCAUCCUGGUGGGGCCCAGCUGGGACCCACAGCACAGCCGUGCCCACUGCAUGGGCCAGGGAAAGUUGUUUUCCCUGCACCUCCAGACAUGACAUUGGGUCAAAGACAUUUCCGUGUUGGGGGCUCAGGGUCUCAAACACCAGGGGUUCAGAACUUGGGAGGGAGGGGGAGGUUGUGUUUCCCUCCCCCUCCUCCCACAAGCUGCCCAUGGCUUUACCAUGCAGCAGGGUGGAGUUGUGCUGGAAGACCUGGAUCCCAUCCGUGCUCCUCACCACACACGUCUCGUUCCUGUGGGGCAGAGAGGCCAGAUGGAGCAAACCCCCCCCCCCAGCCAAACCCGAGGGACCCGGGGCCGCAGAGCUUCAUUGAAUUUGGCACAGCUGCCCUCCAGCCCCAAAGCUGGUGCCGGUGGGUGGAAAUGCCCCAGGGAUGGGGGAGUCAAGGGAGGGGGAGAAUCCCCAUCCUUACACUCUAACAAUUUUGGUGGCGUUGAGCUCGUCCUCGUGGCUGCCAGGAAAGUAGGAAAAAGCUGCGUAUUUCAUGGUCUUAACCUGCUCCAGGUAAUGUGGGUGCCGGGACACACUGGCAAUGUAGACCCAAUGUCCCAGGAGCUGUGGAGAGGAGAGAGCAGGGAAGGGGGUGUGAGGAUGGCAUCUCGGAUUCAGCCAUGGCCAAACCCCUGCCCUCCCACUGUCACCAGCACCCCCAGUCAGUGACAGUCCCGGGCAGGAUCCAGGCUCCCGGAUUAGUCCCCUCCUUGCCAAGGAGAAUCUCCAGCUCCUGGGAUCCCACCUUGCUCCUGGGAUCCCACCCCUCCUGCCCCGUGCCCACCUCUCACUGCUGCCCUCCCACUAACCAGCCCCAGGGGCCAAACCCUGCUCAUGCCCUGCAGGGGUUUGUGGCUGGAGCCUCAUGACCCGAGUCCCUGUGACUUGGGGGGCUUCAACUAGAGCAGCAAAGCCCUGGGGCAGCGCUGCCCAGCCUGGGGAGGGGAAGCAGGAGCCCCCAGCAGCAGCUGCUGCUGAGCGAAGGGGUGCAGAGCUGCCAGGCUGCACCCCAGCCCCGCGCUCCUCUGCAGCCUCCUCCUGCUCUUGAGGAAAAGAGCCCUGGGCAGGCAGCGAGAUGAGGCUGGAGCUGCCAGUCGGGUUUGGCAGCCGUUGCUGGAGCCAGGGUGGCUGCUGGUGCUGCCAGGCAAGGGAGGACGGGGCUGGGCUUACCCCAGGGAUGGUGUCAUUGUCCAAGGGGAGCGUGCGGAGCGGGGCGCAGCCGGGGGGCUCGGCGGCGAGGGCGAGGGGCAGCCCCAGGAGCAGGGUGAGGGUGGUCAGCAUGGCCUGGCCAGUCGGGAGGAGCCUGCUGCUCUGUGGGGCUGCUGCUCAUCUCAGCCCCUUAUCUACUGCAGAGCUGGACGUCCCCAGCCCCCGUGGGCUUGGUCAACCCGUGGCUGUUUGCUCAGGUGUGAAGCAAGAGCAGCUGCAGGGAAUGAGCCUGGCAAAAGCUUGGCUUUCUGAAGCAGGAGUGACAAAAACAAAACCACCCCAAAACCCACCCCGUUCCCCCCCACUUUUCACCAACCCAGGCUUUUGUUCUCAGAGCUGCAAUUAAUUUUGCAGGUGCCCAGGUAAGUGCUUGACCAGCUCCAGGUGUGUUUGCGAGGGAGGCCCCGGGGUCUGAGCGACCUGGUCUGGUUGAGGAUGUGCCUGUUCCUGGCAGGUCUGGAGCAGAUGGCCUUUAAGGUCCCCGAAUGGAACCAUUCUGUGAUUCUCUGGUCACCUGCACCUUUUAAACGCAAACCAGAACAACCAGGCAUCUCUUUCUCCUCCCUGUUAGUGCCACUUCCCUGAACUUACUCUAUCCCAGCAGCUGCAGUGAGAUCUCCAAAGCCAUCAAAUUUGGUGGUUUUUUUUUUUUCCCCUUUUCAGCUGAGCUCCCAUCCUCAGCCCUUGCUGCUUGUGGCUGGUCUCAGCCCAGCUGAGCAGUGAAAAAAUGGCCUUUGGGCUGUGGGUGCUGAUAAUAUAAUGGAUAAUUUUAACUAAUCUGAAAAGAAGUGGUAGAGACAGGGACUUGUUGAAUAAACUCUGUCUGGGGGAGGGGUUGUCUGUGGCAAUGGAACAACUGGUGCAGUGGGCUUAGACUUUUAAUAAAAUGAAUAAACUACAA